UACGUAGGGUGCAAGCGUUGUCCGGAAUUAUUGGGCGUAAAGAGCUCGUAGGCGGUCUGUUACGUCGGCUGUGAAAACCUGGGGCUCAACCCCGGGCCUGCAGCCGAUACGGGCAGACUAGAAUUCGGUAGGGGAGACUGGAAUUCCUGGUGUAGCGGUGAAAUGCGCAGAUAUCAGGAGGAACACCGGUGGCGAAGGCGGGUCUCUGGGCCGAUAUUGACGCUGAGGAGCGAAAGCUAGGGGAGCAAACGGG
rnacentral:rRNA from 1 species